UUGAACGCUGGCGGUAUGCUUAACACAUGCAAGUCGAACGGAAACGAUACUAGCUUGCUAGUAGGCGUCGAGUGGCGGACGGGUGAGUAACGCGUAGGAAUCUGCCUGAUAGUGGGGGAUAGCCCGAAGAAAUUCGGAUUAAUACCGCAUAAUCUAUUCGUAGUAAAGUGGGGGACUUUCGAGCCUCACGCUAUCAGAUGAGCUUGCGUAAGAUUAGCUAGUUGGUAGGGUAAAAGCCUACCAAGGCUACGAUCUUUAGCUGGUCUGAGGGGAUGAUCAGCCACAUCGGGACUGAGACACGGCCCGAACUCCUACGGGAGGCAGCAGUGGGGAAUAUUGGACAAUGGGGGCAACCCUGAUCCAGCAAUACCGCGUGUGUGAAGAAGGCCUGAGGGUUGUAAAGCACUUUCAAUUGUGAAGAAAAGUUAACGGUUAAUAACCGUUAGCCUUGACGUUAACUUUAGAAGAAGCACCGGCUAACUCCGUGCCAGCAGCCGCGGUAAUACGGAGGGUGCAAGCGUUAAUCGGAAUUACUGGGCGUAAAGCGUGCGUAGGCGGUUUAUUAAGUCAGAUGUGAAAGCCCGGGGCUUAACCUGGGAACUGCAUUUGAAACUGGUCAACUAGAGUAUGGUAGAGGAAAGUGGAAUUUCUGGUGUAGCGGUGAAAUGCGUAGAUAUCAGAAGGAACAUCAAUGGCGAAGGCAGCUUUCUGGACCAAUACUGACGCUGAGGUACGAAAGCGUGGGUAGCAAACAGGAUUAGAUACCCUGGUAGUCCACGCCGUAAACGAUGAUAACUAGCCGUUGGGGGGAUUUACCCUUUAGUGGCGAAGCUAACGCGUUAAGUUAUCCGCCUGGGGAGUACGGCCGCAAGGUUAAAACUCAAAGGAAUUGACGGGGACCCGCACAAGCGGUGGAGCAUGUGGUUUAAUUCGAUGCAACGCGAAGGACCUUACCUGGUCUUGACAUCCUGCGAACUUUCUAGAAAUAGAUUGGUGCCUUCGGGAACGCAGUGACAGGUGCUGCAUGGCUGUCGUCAGCUCGUGUCGUGAGAUGUUGGGUUAAGUCCCGUAACGAGCGCAACCCCUAUCCUUAUUUGCCAGCACGUCAUGGUGGGAACUAUAAGGAGACUGCCGGUGAUAAACCGGAGGAAGGCGGGGACGACGUCAAGUCAUCAUGGCCCUUACGACCAGGGCUACACACGUGCUACAAUGGGAAGGACAAAGAGCCGCGAAGCCGCGAGGUGUAGCUAAUCUCAGAAACCUUUUCGUAGUCCGGAUUGGAGUCUGCAACUCGACUCCAUGAAGUCGGAAUCGCUAGUAAUCGUAGAUCAGAAUGCUACGGUGAAUACGUUCCCGGGUCUUGUACACACCGCC
rnacentral:rRNA from 1 species